rnacentral:rRNA from 1 species
GAUGAACGCUGGCGGCGUGCCUAAUACAUGCAAGUCGAGCGAACGGACGAGAAGCUUGCUUCUCUGAUGUUAGCGGCGGACGGGUGAGUAACACGUGGAUAACCUACCUAUAAGACUGGGAUAACUUCGGGAAACCGUAGCUAAUACCGGAUAAUAUUUUGAACCGCAUGGUUCAAAAGUGAAAGACGGUCUUGCUGUCACUUAUAGAUGGAUCCGCGCUGCAUUAGCUAGUUGGUAAGGUAACGGCUUACCAAGGCAACGAUGCAUAGCCGACCUGAGAGGGGGGACACCCAUAGUGGAACGAAGACACGGAGGAGACGAGGACGGGAGGCAGCAGUGGGGAAGAUGGGAUAAUGGGAGAAAGCAUGAGACAGCACGAUCGAGUGGGUGAAGAAGGACUUCGGGUUGGAAAGCCCUGUUGUUGGGAAAGAAAGCGUGCAGGCGGAGAAAUUGGGAGGAUGAAGUGAAGAAAAGAAUAAGCAAGGGCUAAGUGCGUG